UAAUGAGUUUUGGAGCCUCCCCUGUUGUGAUGUGCCCCCACAAACCCUUACUCCCCACCGCAGUCUUUGUUGAGAUGAGAGAAUAAAGAGUUGAUAUAUUGAGAGGGGAAGAGAGUUGGAGCAGACAGUAACUUUGGAGUUUUACUGUGGUAACUUUAGUUUAACCACAGUAACUACUUGGGAAGUUAUCUGAUGGGAUGAGAAGGUAACUUAGUGAAGAGAAGAGAGUAAACUCGACCAAAGAGGAUAAGGAAGGAUAAGGGAGCAGUUUGACAGCCUGUAUGAUGCUGGAAAGGAGAGGAUGCUUUUCUACUAGU
rnacentral:lncRNA from 1 species